rnacentral:rRNA from 1 species
AACCUUUACAAUGCACGAAAGUGUGAUAAGGGGACCCUCAGUGCCCAUGCUAAGCAUGGGCUUUUGCCAAGUGUAAAUAGCUUGGCGAAUAAAAGGUGGGCAAGACUGGUGCCAGCCGCCGCGGUAACACCAGCGCCACAAGUGGGAGCCAUUAUUAUUGGGUCUAAAGCGUUCGUAGCCGGUUGAGUAAAUCUUUUGUGAAAGUGUCAAGCUUAACUUGACAGAUUGCAAAAAACACUACUUGACUAGGGACCGGGAGGAGCCAGGAGUAUGCAAAGGGGAGCGGUAAAAUGCUAUAAUCCUUUGUAGACUACCUGUGGCGAAGGCGCCUGGCCAGAACGGAUCCGACGGUGAGGAACGAAAGCUAGGGGAGCAAUCCGGAUUAAAUAUCACGAA